rnacentral:rRNA from 1 species
GCAAGUCGAGGGGUAACAGGGAGUGCUUGCACUCUGCUGACGACCGGCGCACGGGUGCGUAACGCGUAUGCAACCUACCUUCUACAGGGGGAUAGUCCAGAGAAAUUUGGCAUAAUACCCCAUACGAUCAUUUAUUGGCAUCGAUAGAUGAGGAAAACUCCGGUGGUAGAAGAUGGGCAUGCGUCCUAUUAGUUAGUUGGUAAGGUAACGGCUUACCAAGACAUCGAUAGGUAGGGGUCCUGAGAGGGAGAUCCCCCACACUGGUACUGAGACACGGACCAGACUCCUACGGGAGGCAGCAGUGAGGAAUAUUGGACAAUGGAGGCAACUCUGAUCCAGCCAUGCCGCGUGCAGGAAGACGGCCCUACGGGUUGUAAACUGCUUUUAUACAGGAAGAAACGCCGCUACGUGUAGCGGUUUGACGGUACUGUACGAAUAAGGAUCGGCUAACUCCGUGCCAGCAGCCGCGGUAAUACGGAGGAUCCAAGCGUUAUCCGGAAUCAUUGGGUUUAAAGGGUCCGUAGGCGGUUUUUUAAGUCAGAGGUGAAAUCCUGCAGCUCAACUGUAGCAUUGCCUUUGAUACUGAAAGACUUGAGUUAUUGUGAAGUAGUUAGAAUGUGUAGUGUAGCGGUGAAAUGCAUAGAUAUUACACAGAAUACCGAUUGCGAAGGCAGAUUACUAACAAUAUACUGACGCUGGGGGACGAAAGCGUGGGUAGCGAACAGGAUUAGAUACCCUGGUAGUCCACGCCGUAAACGAUGGAUACUAGCUGUUCGACCAACAUUGGUUGGUUGAGUGGCUAAGCGAAAGUGAUAAGUAUCCCACCUGGGGAGUACGCUCGCAAG